CCCCAGGGCAGCAGGUCUGCAAGGCCAGGCAGUAGAGAAGGAGCCAGCAGGGGAGAGGUUCCUGCACAGCAUUAGAUGUGUCUGACUUCUAAGGAAAAUGAGACUCCAGACACAUUGAUGGGGCAUCAACAAGACUGUGGAUAGGAAAUGAGUGAGCUGCCAACUAUUGAGCUGCUGAGCCGGAGACCACAAGACUCCACUUCUGUCCCCAUCAUCGCAGAGCCCUGCCAUCUGGAGCAGACCUCUG